UACAGAGGUCCCAAGCGUUGUUCGGAUUCACUGGGCGUAAAGGGUGCGUAGGCGGUCGGGUAAGUCUGAUGUGAAAUCUCACAGCUUAACUGUGAAACUGCAUUGGAUACUAUUCGGCUUGAGAGUUGGAGGGGGGACUGGAAUUCUUGGUGUAGCAGUGAAAUGCGCAGAUAUCAGGAAGAACACCCGUGGCUAAGGCGGCUCUCUAGUACGGUACUGACGCUGAGACGCGAAAGCGUGGGGAGCGAACAGG
rnacentral:rRNA from 1 species